rnacentral:tRNA from 1 species
AGGGUUAUAAUGUAAUGGUAGCAUUAGUGUCUCCAAAACACUCCGUCCAGGUUCGAAUCCUGGUAGCCCUGC